rnacentral:lncRNA from 1 species
AGACCUCACCCUGCCCUGCCGUGCGCUCAACAGCCAGAUGCUGGGCCCAGACAAGCGCUCUUCCGCUAGUGUGCCGGGAUGAGCGGGGGCUGGACUUCUAGAAAGGGGUCUGCGGGCGCAGGAGCUGGGGUCCGCGGUCUGGGGCCGCCAACACAAGCCAUCAGCCCCAUGCUCAGCUCCCAGCAGGCAGAGCGUUCAGAAGCGCCAGCGCCAUCAUCUUGGGAGCCUGCAGUCCACACACCGCUGACCUUACCUACUUCCUCUUUCCAGGUCGUAGAUUACAGACUCUCCUCUGGGAAAUUGCCCCCAGAUCUAACAGGAGUACAAGAAGCUGGGUAGAUUGGAAAACAGCACCGAAUUCCCCUGGAACUGAGGACGGAAGCCUUCCCAGUCCUGCAGCCACCUGCAGACUCUCACAAGCACGGUGCUCCCGGGAGAAGACCUUGCUACCCCAGGCCCAAGGCAGUCGAGAGAAAACGGGAAGCCCUGAAGGUUUUUCACCCCGGGGGUGAGAGUGUAUGAUCGAAGAUAUAUUUGAGGGUAAUUGUACAGAUAGUCCCAACUUAGCAUUGUUCAACUUUAUGAUGGUAUGAAAGUGAUGACAUUCAGUAGAAAUUGUACUUCAAGUGCCAAUACAAUCAGUUUUUCACUUUUGGUGCAGUAUUCAAUAAAUUACAUGAGAUAUUCAACACUUUACUUUAAAAUAGGCUUUGUGUAAGAUGAUUCUGCCCAAAUGUAAGGCUGAUGCCAGUGCUCUGAGCACAUUUAAGGGAAAGCUGGGCUAAGCAAUGAUGUUCCACAAGUUAGGCAUAUUAAAUGCAUUUUUGACUUAGAAUAUUCUCAACUUGCAAUGGGUUUAUCAGAACAUGACAUCGUUAAUCACUCAAGGAGCAUCUGUACCACUAAUGACAUAGAUGCUGGUUGCAGGAAGGCAGCCAGAGGAGGGCACAGUGUGGAAGAACUCAACUUUUUAAAGACAGAGAUCAGCUUUAAAUAUUGCUAAGAAAGAACUUGGAGAGAGAAGUUGGUGAUACCGGAGACAGCAGGCAACAGACAGAGUGAGAGGCCCGAAGAACAAGAGGAGGAGGGAGUCUCUUCUGGGAGCAGAAGGAGUGUCGACUUAAAUAUUAGGGAGCCAAAGAUGAACCUCGCAGAGAACCUGCAAAACCCAGUUGCAGAAAUACCUGCCCACACCUAAAAACUCAGUCACUGAAAGUCUGAAGUCAAAUGAUUAUGUGAAAUCUUAGUAGUGGGUACAUGUGGUUUCAUUAGAUUAUUCUUUGUAUCUAUAUUUGUACUAUCUUAUAAGCACUAUAAGUUUUAAAACCAUACAAGAGGCUCUAUGGAAAAUAAAUUGGACUUCAUUAAAAUUCAAAACGUGUGCAUCAAAAGACACUGUCAAGAGAAUGAAAAGACAACCCAUAUGAUGGGAGAAAAUCACGUAUCUGACAAAGGUCUACAAUCCAGAACAUAUUAAAAAACUCCUACAAUUCAACAAUGAAAGACCGGCCUGGCCAACAUGGUGAAACCCCGUUUCUACUAAAAAUAGAAAAAAUUAGCCAGGUGUGGUGGCAGGCGCCUGUAAUCCAGCUACUCAGGAGGCUGAGGCUGGAGAAUUGCUUGAACCUGUGAGGCAGAGGUUGCAGUGAGCUAAGAUCGUGCCAUUGCACUCCAGCCUAGGCAACAAGAGUGAAACUCCGUCUCAAAAAAGAAAGAAAAGAAAAGAUGCUCACUGUCAUUAGUCAUAAAGGAAAUGCAAAUCAAAAGUACAGUGAGAUGCCACUUAACACCCACUACGAUGGGUAAUCAUAGGAUGGGAAAAAUAAAAUAAGUGUGGGUGAGGAUGUGGAAAAAUCAACCCUCACACACUGCUGGUGAGAAUGUAAGAUGGUGCAGCUGCUAUGUGACCGUCUGGCAGUCCCUCGAAUGAUUAAACAUAGAGUUAUAAUGUGACCCAGCAAUUCCAUAUAUACCCAAGAGAAAUGAGCAUUAUUCCUAAUAGACAAGGGAAGAAACAGCCCCACGGUUCAUCAGCCCAUGAGUAGAUUAACUAAAUGUGGCAUAUGCAUAUAAUGGAAUACUGUUCCGCCAUGACAAAGAGUGAGGUGCUGAUAAACGGUACCACGUGCAGGGACCUUGAAAACAGAUUAAGUGAGAGAAGUCAGUCACCAAAGACCACAUAUUACCUGAUUCCAUUCAUCUGCACGGUCCAGAACAAGGGAGUCUACAGAGAUAGUUGGUUAGUGGUUGCCUAGGGCUUGGGGAAGAGGUCUGGGGAGUGGAGAAGUGAUGGGUAUAGUAUACACGGUUCCUUUUUGGGGUGAUGAAAAUGUUCUAAAAUGGACUGUGGUACUGGUUGCUUAUUUUAAUAUAUCUGUGAAUAUAUUAAAAAACCAUUGAAUUGUACACUUUACAUGGAUCAGCUAUACAGUAUGUGAACUAUUUCUCCAUAAAGCUGGGGGUUUUUUUGUUUUUGUUUUUGUUUUUUAUUUAGAUGGAGUCUCACUCUGUUGUCCAGGCUGGAGUGCAGUGGCGCGAUCUCGGCUCACUGCAACCUCCACCUCCUGAG